AAGCGCAUCACAUUCUUCCCAGCCGAAAACACCUUCAGUAUACUUUUGCUCAACUUUAGAUUGAAAAGAAAGUUUUUAUUAUUUCAUCACUAUUUUAUAAGAAUAUAUUGUAGAUAAACAACCUAUGAUGAAGACAUCAAUGCAUAGUGAAAGUGAACAAGAAGUAGAUAUAAUUAGUACCUUGCCUGAUUCUAUUGUAACACACAUCAUGGAAUUCUUGGUGACUAAAGAAGCUGUACAUACCAGCAUUUUGUCCAAGAGAUGGAAGCACCUUUGGAAAUCGCUCGCUAUUUUGAUAAUUAACAGUAAUCAAUUUGACAAGGCUGAAUUUUUCAAGAAAUUUGUGCUCAAGGUUUUGCAACACCGCGAUUACUCUAGUGCCUUGCGUAAAAUUGUAGUCAAGCAUAACGGGCAUAUUCACUUUCAUAUUUUGGCCAAAAUAAUCAAUUAUGCAGUAUCAUACGAAGUGGAGCAAUUCAAACUCGACACAUUCCUUCGUAAUGAUGUACGUAAUAUGUUGCUUUUUCACCCCUUGUUUUACCUUCAGUCUCUAAAACGUCUUGAUGUGUCACUCCGUAAAUCUGGUUGGAUAGCUCAACUUCCGGUAACUCUAGACCUUCCACAAUUAGUAUAUUGUCAAUUACGACAUUUUUCCUUUACUUCAAGUGAUGAUAAAGAUUUUUCCAAUCCCUUCUUAAAUUGUAAGAAGCUUCGUACUUUAGUCAUCGACAAUUGCAAUCUAAGUAACGGGAAAAUCCUUUGU